AUUGAACGCUGGCGGCAUGCCUUACACAUGCAAGUCGAACGGCAGCACGGGUGCUUGCACCUGGUGGCGAGUGGCGAACGGGUGAGUAAUAUAUCGGAACGUACCUUAUUGUGGGGGAUAACGCAGCGAAAGCUGUGCUAAUACCGCAUAAUCCCUAAGGGGGAAAGCGGGGGACCGUAAGGCCUCGCGCAAUUAGAGCGGCCGAUACCUGAUUAGCUAGUUGGUGAGGUAAAGGCUCACCAAGGCAACGAUCAGUAGCUGGCCUGAGAGGAAGGGCAGCCACACUGGGGCUGAGACACGGCCCAGACUCCUACGGGAGACAGCAGUGGGGAAUUUUGGACAAUGGGGGCAACCCUGAUCCAGCAAUGCCGCGUGAGUGAAGAAGGCCUUCGGGUUGUAAAGCUCUUUUGUCAGGGAAGAAACAGCAGCUCUAACACAGUUUGCGAAUGACGGUACCUGAAGAAUAAGCACCGGCUAACUACGUGCCAGCCGCCGCAGUAA
rnacentral:rRNA from 1 species